UCAGCUUCUGGCUGACGGUGGCGGGGGCGCUGCUAGUGAUGGUGUCCUUGUUCGUCGGCGAGUUCAGCCGCGCGGGCUGGC
rnacentral:tRNA from 1 species